rnacentral:snoRNA from 1 species
UUAUAUUAUGUCCCUCUCCAUGGGGCCAACUAGUGCCCCCUUCAGGAAAGUAGCAACUUGGAAGAAAACCUGGCAAGCCUAAGGUUGGAAGACAAAGAAUACUUGAAUUCUUUUGCCUUCCUUUGACUGCCUACAUGC